AUGUGAACGUUACCAAACUGUUGCCUCGGCGGGGUCACGCCCCGGGUGCGUCGCAGCCCCGGAACCAGGCGCCCGCCGGAGGAACCAACCAAACUCUUUCUGUAGUCCCCUCGCGGACGUAUUUCUUACAGCUCUGAGCAAAAAUUCAAAAUGAAUCAAAACUUUCAACAACGGAUCUCUUGGUUCUGGCAUCGAUGAAGAACGCAGCGAAAUGCGAUAAGUAAUGUGAAUUGCAGAAUUCAGUGAAUCAUCGAAUCUUUGAACGCACAUUGCGCCCGCCAGUAUUCUGGCGGGCAUGCCUGUCCGAGCGUCAUUUCAACCCUCGAACCCCUCCGGGGGAUCGGCGUUGGGGAUCGGGACCCCUCACACGGGUGCCGGCCCCGAAAUACAGUGGCGGUCUCGCCGCAGCCUCUCCUGCGCAGUAGUUUGCACAACUCGCACCGGGAGCGCGGCGCGUCCACGUCCGUAAAACACCCAACUUUCUGAAAUGUUGACCUCGGAUCAGGUAGGAAUACCCGCUGAACUUAAGCAUAUCAAU
rnacentral:rRNA from 1 species